rnacentral:tRNA from 1 species
UGGGAUGUAACUUAAUGGUAAAGAGCUUGCCUAGCAUGCGUGAGUCCCUGGGUUUGAUCCCCAGUACCACAC